AAAGGAGGCGUCCAAAGGGAUCGCAUUGAUCCCAUUUUUGUUUCUAUUAAUUUAAGAAACUGAAUUUGGAUCAUGCUAUCCCUUUGGACUCCUCCUU
rfam:Nicotiana sylvestris Nsyl_contig110342, whole genome shotgun sequence.